rnacentral:rRNA from 1 species
UGCAAGCUAACGCAUUAAGCACUCCGCCUGGGGAGUACGUCGCAAGACUGAAACUCAAAGGAAUUGACGGGGGCCCGCACAAGCGGUGGAGCAUGUGUUUAAUUCGAAGCAACGCGAAGAACCUUACCAGGUCUUGACAUCCCAUUGACCACUAUGGAGACAUAGUUUUCCCUUCGGGGACAACGGUGACAGGUGGUGCAUGGUUGUCGUCAGCUCGUGUCGUGAGAUGUUGGGUUAAGUCCCGCAACGAGCGCAACCCUUGUUCUUAGUUGCCAUCAUUUAGUUGGGCACUCUAAGGAGACUGCCGGUGACAAACCGGAGGAAGGUGGGGAUGACGUCAAAUCAUCAUGCCCCUUAUGACCUGGGCUACACACGUGCUACAAUGGACGGUACAAACGGUUGCCAACCCGCGAGGGGGAGCUAAUCCGAUAAAACCGUUCUCAGUUCGGAUUGUAGGCUGCAACUCGCCUACAUGAAGCCGGAAUCGCUAGUAAUCGCGGAUCAGCAUGCCGCGGUGAAUACGUUCCCGGGCCUUGUACACACCGCCCGUCACACCACGAGAGUUUGUAACACCCGAAGUCGGUGAGGUAACCUUUUGGGGCCAGCCGCCGAAGGUGGGACAGAUGAUUGGGGUGU